AUGGGCGCGCACCCCAGCGAAUACACCGGCGAGAACCUAUGCCACCGCCGCCCCGAACUCCGCGCAUGCAGCAGCCCGGAACCAGUUCCACCGGUGCCACAUGUGCCUAAGCCGAACACCGGUCCGGUGGUGGAGGUGGACGCUCCCUCGAGCUACGCCACGGCCGGCAAGCUCCUGUUCGUCGCGGCCGGGGCGUUCGCGGCCGUCCUCCUGGCCCUCAUCGCCCUGCACCUCUACAACAGCGGCCGGCGCCGGCGCGCGCGAGAGGGUCGCCGCCUCCACCGCACCCUGGCCAUCUACGUCGAGGCGCCUUCGCUGCGGCGGCUCGACCCCCUCGACCCCGCGGUGCUCCGCGCGCUCCCCGUGGUCGCCGCGGCCGUCGGCGCCGGGGACUGCGCGGUCUGCCUCGCCGAGUUCGAGCGCGGCGAGGAGGCGCGCGCGCUGCCGCGGUGCGGCCACCGGUUCCACGUCGACUGCAUCGACGCCUGGUUCCGCGGGAACUCCACGUGCCCCCUGUGCCGCGCCGCCGUCGAGGCGCCGGACGACGCCGUGGCCCGUCCCGAGGUGCGCGUCGAUGUGGCGGCCGACGACGACGCCGCGGCCAAGGGCGGAGCGCCGGCGAUCAACAGAAACAGCGGCCGGCGCCGGCGCGCGCGAGAGGGCCGCCGCCUCGGCCGCACCCUCGCCAUCUACGUCGAAGCGCCUUCGCCGCGGCGGCUCGACCCCCUCGACCCCGCGGUGCUCCGCGCGCUACCCGUGGUCGCCGCUGCCGUCGACGCCGGGGACUGCGCGGUCUGCCUCGCCGAGUUCGAGCGCGGCGAGGAGGCGCACGCGCUGCCACGGUGCGGCCACCGCUUCCACGUCGAGUGCAUCGACGCCUGGUUCCGCGGGAACUCCACGUGCCCCCUGUGCCGCGCCGCCGUCGAGGCGCCAGACGACGCCGCGGCCCGUCCCGAGGUGCGCAUCGACGUGGCGAGGGACGACGCCGGCGAUGUCGAGCGGCACGGAUCUUGA
rnacentral:rRNA from 1 species